UGAUGGGACUGGCCACUGGAUGCUUCUUUGCAGGAAGACUUCCCAGGAACUUUAUCAGAAGGUCAAUGACUUGACAUAACAAAGAUAAUAUCCUAUUCCAGAAAUACAACCAUAAAUCUUUUUGAAACUGGAGCCUCCACUUAUUCAACCGAGCACUAUUCCAGGACCUCCAGGUGCCAGUCUACCCUGCAUACAAACCCAGCCAAUCCAGAAGCAACAGUUCUUUCUUUCUCAUAUGGACUGCCCUCCUGUACUAAAACAUUC
rnacentral:lncRNA from 1 species